GGAGGGUUGGGAGAGUGGUUGAAUCCGCUUGCCUGGAACGCAAGUAAGCUCGCAAGGGCUUCGCGAGUUCGAAUCUCGCAUCCUCCGCCA
rnacentral:tRNA from 1 species